CGGCACCUAUCUUCGGAUAGAAGCGAGUGGCGAACGGCUGAGUAACACGUGGAGAACCUGUCCCCUCCCCCGGGAUAGCCGCCCGAAAGGACGGGUAAUACCGGAUACCCCGGGGUGCCGCAUGGCACCCCGGCUAAAGCCCCGACGGGAGGGGAUGGCUCCGCGGCCCAUCAGGUAGACGGCGGGGUGACGGCCCACCGUGCCGACAACGGGUAGCCGGGUUGAGAGACCGACCGGCCAGAUUGGGACUGAGACACGGCCCAG
rnacentral:rRNA from 1 species